AGCGAACGCUGGCGGCAGGCCUAACACAUGCAAGUCGAACGAACCCUUCGGGGUUAGUGGCGGACGGGUGAGUAACACGUGGGAACGUGCCUUUAGGUUCGGAAUAACUCAGGGAAACUUGUGCUAAUACCGAAUGUGCCCUUCGGGGGAAAGAUUUAUCGCCUUUAGAGCGGCCCGCGUCUGAUUAGCUAGUUGGUGAGGUAAUGGCUCACCAAUGCUACGAUAAGUAGCUGGUCUGAGAGGAUGACCAGCCACAUUGGGACUGAGACACGGCCCAAACUCCUACGGGAGGCAGCAGUGGGGAAUCUUGCGCAUGGGCGAAAGCCUGACGCAGCCAUGCCGCGUGGAUGAUGAAGGUCUUAGGAUUGUAAAAUCCUUUCACCGGUGAAGAUAAUGACUGUAGCCGGAGAAGAAGCCCCGGCUAACUUCGUGCCAGCAGCCGCGGUAAAAC
rnacentral:rRNA from 1 species